UACAUGUUCGGUGCAUAUCAUGGAUGUGUUUCUAUUUCAAACAAGAUGAUAAGUGAAACUCAAAUCUUCAUUCUCAUUCAUUCUGACCCUACCAAAAGCUGAUGUGGAUAAUUGUGGUUAGAGUAUUAGCAAAUACGGCUCUCUCAUUAAUUCUGACGAUUUAUCACUCCUAAAUUACGGCUCCCAGUCAGCCCAUUUCCCCUGAACACCACGUUUACUGUGUAACUGAAGAGCAAAAAGAAAAGAAAAAAAAAAGCUCGGAAUUUCAGAACUGAUCUUCAUCUUCACAACCCUACUCAUCUAAACUGAUCUCCAUUCUCACAACCCUGCUCAUCUAAUUUGGUUUCUAUUAUUGUUCUGCUUCAAGAAUCAUCGAUAACCGGAAACAGGCUUGUCCGGUGGAACAACCUGAGUAAUUUGGUUUCUAUUAUUCUGAGACUUCAACAAUCAGCAAUCACCAGAAACAGGGGUAUCAACAAAGAGAUACUCUUUGUUAGCUAGCGAAUGAAUUUUUAAUUUGAGGAACCAGAUGACUCUAGAAACUACAUUCAGGUUAGAAAAGGCAAGGAAGGCAAGAGAAUUUACUCCCCCAGACUGUUGAUAUAAAUACCACUAAUGCAUCAAAACCUUCUCGCAAAAGAGCAAUCAAUGAUCUGGAACCACCACAUUCUAUCAACAAUGAUAAGUUACAGCUACAACGCCAUGCUCGAUAACGGAGAAGAAUGAAAAUUGAUCACAUGAGGCAGAGAAAGAUUCAACUUGAUCGCUUACGCCAAACACAAACUCAAAGUGUUUGCGAUUCAGGUGUUGGUCCCGGAGCACGGGAAUGAGUGUCGAAUACAUGUUCAAGUACAUCUGCAAAGGGGAUGAUCAUGUUACUGCUGUUCUGGAAAAAACUAAUCCCCAGAAUAAUAAGGAAACUACAACCAAAAAGAAGAGAAGCAACAAGGGGCACGAAGAACUUACUGCUGUCGUUGAACAAACUCAAUCACCAAAUCAGCAUGUUGGUCAGAAUGGAAACAACGGACAGGAUUCUCAAAAGGGAAAGAAAAAGGUCAAGCCUAAAUUUGAUGAAGUGAACAACUAUUUGGAUUGUCGAUACAUAUCAGCUCCGGAGGGGAUAUGGAGAACGUUGGGUUAUGAAAUUCAAUAUCGCAAGCCAAUUGUGGAGAGACUUCCGUUUCAUCUCGAAGGUGAGCAAAACAUCUACUUCAAUGACAAAGAAAAUCUGGAAAAUGUCAUAGACAGAACGAAUUACCUACAAAAUUCCUUUGGUACAAUAAAAUAAAAAUGUGGAGGAAAAGGAACCAGUGGGUACAAAAUCGGGAGACUAUACUAUGCACAUCCAACUUCACAAGAGAGAUACUAUCUACGAAUGUUGUUGUACAUCGUCAAAGGAGCAUACACUUAUGAUGAAAUAAAAACUGUUAAGGGAAAGAUAUAUCCUACUUUCAAAGCGGCGUGUCUUGCACAUGGUCUGUUAGAAGAUGACAAAGAAUGGCAUCAUGGUCUAAGAGAAACAACAACAUUCACAUCAGGUAACCAAGUACGUGAAUUAUUAUUGGGAGUUGGGAGUAGAAUUAAACUACUUCGAAAUUUGGAUCCGCAAAUUGGCCUUUGCAAGGGAACACGGCUAAAUUUAACUCAUCUAGGCCAAACACUUAUUGAAGCAGAGAUCAUGGAAGGAGACUUCGGAGGAAGCCGCGUAUUACCAAGGAAAACAAUGACUCCAAAAAACUGCCAAUUUCUUUUUGAGAGAAAUCAGUUCCCAGUUAAAGAGUUCCCUUAAUGGUGCUAACAAAUUUAUACAAUCAUUAUCAUCAAAUUCACUUUUCUUUAAUCAGGAAAUAAAUGUAGUUAAUCAUAAUUUGCAGAAAAUAAAGACACAUCCUUAUGAUUUAUUUCUUUUAA